rnacentral:tRNA from 1 species
GGUAGUUUAGCUCAGUGGUAUAAGCAUCUGCCUGGCAAGCACAAGGUUGUGAGUUUGAUCCUAGGUACCA